GAUGAACGCUAGCGGCGUGCCUAACACAUGCAAGUCGAACGUGAGAGGGUACUUGUAUCCUUGAAAGUGGCGGACGGGUGAGUAAGACGUAGGUGACCUGCCUUGAAGUGGGGGAUAACCAUUGGAAACGAUGGCUAAUACCGCAUAAGCUGGUGACGAUGGGAAUCGUUAACAGGAAAGCUUUAGUGCUUUGAGAGGGGCCUACGGCCGAUUAGCUAGUUGGUGAGGUAAAGGCUCACCAAGGCGAUGAUCGGUAGCUGGUCUGAGAGGACGAUCAGCCACACGGGAACUGAGACACGGUCCCGACUCCUACGGGGGGCAGCAGUGAGGAAUAUUCGGCAAUGGGCGAAAGCCUGACCCAGCAACGCCGCGUGGAGGAUGAAGGCUUUAGGGUUGUAAACUCCUUUUGUGGGGGAAAAGAAUGGAUGGUACCCCAAGAAUAAGUCACGGCUAACUACGUG
rnacentral:rRNA from 1 species